UUAUAAGAGACAGCAGCCGCCACGGGAAUACAGAGGGUGCGAGCGUUAAUCGGAUUUACUGGGCGUAAAGCGUGCGUAGGCGGCUUCUUAAGUCGGAUGUGAAAUCCCUGAGCUUAACUUAGGAAUUGCAUUCGAUACUGGGAAGCUAGAGUAUGGGAGAGGAUGGUAGAAUUCCAGGUGUAGCGGUGAAAUGCGUAGAGAUCUGGAGGAAUACCGAUGGCGAAGGCAGCCAUCUGGCCUAAUACUGACGCUGAGGUGCGAAAGCGUGGGGAGCAAACAGGAUUAGAUACCCCGGUAGUCCCUGUCUCUUAUAC
rnacentral:rRNA from 1 species